rnacentral:rRNA from 1 species
GAACGCUGGCGGCGUGCUUAACACAUGCAAGUCGAACGGUGACGAGGAGCUUGCUCCUCUGAUCAGUGGCGAACGGGUGAGUAACACGUGAGCAACCUGCCCCAGACUCUGGGAUAACAGUUGGAAACAGCUGCUAAUACCGGAUACGAGACGGAGAGGCAUCUCUACCGUCUGGAAAGUUUUUCGGCCUGGGAUGGACUCGCGGCCUAUCAGCUAGUUGGUGAGGUAAUGGCUCACCAAGGCGACGACGGGUAGCCGGCCUGAGAGGGCGACCGGCCACACUGGGACUGAGACACGGCCCAGACUCCUACGGGAGGCAGCAGUGGGGAAUAUUGGGCAAUGGGCGAAAGCCUGACCCAGCGACGCCGCGUGAGGGAAGAAGGUCUUCGGAUUGUAAACCUCUGUUGACAGGGACGAAGGAAGUGACGGUACCUGUUGAGGAAGCCACGGCUAACUACGUG